AGACGAGCUGUCCAAGGGCUGGGGCGGCCUCCACACAGCUGCGGUGGUCAAAAGGGGGCCCAGAGCGACAGUUCUUGCCGGUCACCGUUCUGUUUGCUGUAACUGAUCUAUACAACGUUUUGGGAAAAUACAGUU
rnacentral:snoRNA from 1 species